UGGCUCAUUAAAUCAGUUAUCGUUUAUUUGAUAGUACCUUACUACUUGGAUAACCGUGGUAAUUCUAGAGCUAAUACAUGCUAAAAACCCCAACUUCGGAAGGGGUGUAUUUAUUAGAUAAAAAACCAACGCCCUUCGGGGCUUCUUGGUGAUUCAUGAUAACUUUACGGAUCGCAUGGCCUUGCGCCGGCGACGGUUCAUUCAAAUUUCUGCCCUAUCAACUUUCGAUGGUAAGGUAUUGGCUUACCAUGGUUUCAACGGGUAACGGGGAAUUAGGGUUCGAUUCCGGAGAGGGAGCCUGAGAAACGGCUACCACAUCCAAGGAAGGCAGCAGGCGCGCAAAUUACCCAAUCCCGACACGGGGAGGUAGUGACAAUAAAUACUGAUACAGGGCUCUUUUGGGUCUUGUAAUUGGAAUGAGUACAAUUUAAACCUCUUAACGAGGAACAAUUGGAGGGCAAGUCUGGUGCCAGCAGCCGCGGUAAUUCCAGCUCCAAUAGCGUAUAUUAAAGUUGUUGCAGUUAAAAAGCUCGUAGUUGAAACUUGGGUCUGGCUGGCAGGUCCGCCUCACCGCGUGUACUUGUCCGGCCGGGCCUUCCUUCUGGAGAACCUCAUGCCCUUCACUGGGCGUGUUGGGGACCAGGACUUUUACUUUGAAAAAAUUAGAGUGUUCAAAGCAGGCCUUUGCUCGAAUACGUUAGCAUGGAAUAAUAGAAUAGGACGUGCGGUCCUAUUUUGUUGGUUUCUAGGACCGCCGUAAUGAUUAAUAGGGACAGUCGGGGGCAUCAGUAUUCAAUUGUCAGAGGUGAAAUUCUUGGAUUUAUUGAAGACUAACUACUGCGAAAGCAUUUGCCAAGGAUGUUUUCAUUAAUCAGUGAACGAAAGUUAGGGGAUCGAAGACGAUCAGAUACCGUCGUAGUCUUAACCGUAAACUAUGCCGACUAGGGAUCGGGCGAUGUUCUUUUUCUGACUCGCU
rnacentral:rRNA from 1 species